AGUGAACGCUGGCGGUAGGCCUAACACAUGCAAGUCGAACGGCAGCACAGUAAGAGCUUGCUCUUACGGGUGGCGAGUGGCGGACGGGUGAGGAAUACAUCGGAAUCUACUUUUUCGUGGGGGAUAACGUAGGGAAACUUACGCUAAUACCGCAUACGACCUACGGUUGAAAGCAGGGGAUCUUCGGACCUUGCGCGAUUGAAUGAGCCGAUGUCGGAUUAGCUAGUUGGCGGGGUAAAGGCCCACCAAGGCGACGAUCCGUAGCUGGUCUGAGAGGAUGAUCAGCCACACUGGAACUGAGACACGGUCCAGACUCCUACGGGAGGCAGCAGUGGGGAAUAUUGGACAGUGGGCGCAAGCCUGAUCCAGCCAUACCGCGUGGGUGAAGAAGGCCUUCGGGUUGUAAAGCCCUUUUGUUGGGAAAGAAAAGCAGCAGGUUAAUACCCCGCUGUUCUGACGGUACCCAAAGAAUAAGCACCGGCUAACUUCGUG
rnacentral:rRNA from 1 species